rnacentral:rRNA from 1 species
UACGGAGGGGGUUAGCGUUGUUCGGAAUUACUGGGCGUAAAGCGCACGUAGGCGGAUCAGAAAGUUGGGGGUGAAAUCCCGGGGCUCAACCCCGGAACUGCCUCCAAAACUCCUGGUCUUGAGUUCGAGAGAGGUGAGUGGAAUUCCAGUGUAGAGGUGAAAUUCGAUAGAUAUUGGAGAACACCAGUGGCGAAGGCGGCUCACUGGUCCGUAGA